AACGAACGCUGGCGGCGUGCUUAACACAUGCAAGUCGAACGCGAAAUUUUUCUUCGGAAGAAGAGUAGAGUGGCGCACGGGUGAGUAACGCGUAAGUUAUCUACCUCGGCAUCUGGAAUAACUCACCGAAAGGUGUGCUAAUACCGGAUACGUUGAGUAAUCAAGAAAGGUGGCCUCUGAAUAUGCUACUGUGCUGAGAUGAGCUUGCGUACCAUUAGCUAGUUGGUAGGGUAAUGGCCUACCAAGGCGACGAUGGUUAGCGGGUCUGAGAGGAUGAUCCGCCACACUGGAACUGGAACACGGACCAGACUCCUACGGGAGGCAGCAGUGAGGAAUAUUGCGCAAUGGGGGCAACCCUGACGCAGCGACGCCGCGUGGAUGAUGAAGGCCUUCGGGUCGUAAAAUCCUGUCAAGUGGAAAGAAGUGCAUAGUGGUUAAUACCUGCUAUGUUUGACGGUACUACUGAAGGAAGCACCGGCUAACUCCGUGCCAGCAGCCGCCGUAA
rnacentral:rRNA from 1 species